UGAAAAUCUUGGAAUUUCACAGUUUACAUGGUAUAAAUGAUGCGACCUCACAAAAGAUGUUAAUGAUGCAGUUAACGAACUCUGUGAAGAGGUCAGAGCCAACCGCCAUCCCUGCUGCAAUGAAUCUGUAGAUGCUGGGGUAUUGCCUCUGGAUUUGCCCUUGCACAACAUGGAGGAGCUAAACAAUGCAGGGGCAGCUCUUCAAUCAGGCAAAUAAGGCAAUGGUGAGACGCUUUGCCUUGAUUGGAGGGACCACACUGGAGGUGCGAGUCCACCGCACCGCCAAAUGAGCUGGCCUCGGUACUCAACUGGGCAGGGGAAAAAACCAAGGACCUUACAGAGCAAAAAAGGGCAUUUAAAGAGACAGCGCUGUG